AUUAUUGAAGGGAUUGCAAACCCCAAGACUGUGUCUGUUCAAGCAGGAGGCAAAGACUCAGUAGUGCUUACUACAACAAAGACCAGGAAGCAGAAUAAGCCUGCAAGUACGCAACACAAGUAUGCGAAGAAGAAAGAUUUCAGUUGGAUUAUGCAGGCAAUUCAUUCAGGAGCAGAUCUGGAGGCUGCUAUUUCAAAUUGCAUGGGAUACAAAACUGAGGGUCAAGGCUUCAUGGUUGGCGUGAAUAUCGAUCCUCUUCCUGGAUUGCCAGCUGCAUUUCCGGAUUUGCUUCAGUUUAUUUUGGUACAUGUGGAAGAUAAGAAUGUGGAGCCGCUGCUUGAGGCAUUACUAGAGGCAUGACAGGAACUCCGACCAUUGUUGUUCAAAUCUCACAAUCGGCUGAAGGAUCUAAUAUUUUUGGAUAUUGCUCUUGAUUCUUCUGUGAGGACAGUCAUUGAAAGGGGUUACGAGGAGCUGAAUAACGCUGGACCUGAGGGUUAUGUACAAAGAGAAACGCCAUACUCUAAUGAGGAGUUAGAAGAAACUCGAGAACAAUGGGCAAAGUAUUUUAAGGACAACUAUUUG